rnacentral:tRNA from 2 species
UCGGGAUGUAGCGCAGCCCGGUAGCGUACUUGCAUGGGGUGCAAGGGGUCGCUGGUUCGAAUCCAGUAUCCCGAC